AUAAUAACGAUAAGGGCGACCGCAAGGUCGCCCAGUUGUUUUGACUGGCUCUUCUCAGCUUAUGUGGAAUAGGGAUGAGAAGAAACUUUGGUUUGGCCGCCGACAUGUUAGUCAAAGGCAACAGUUUGGUGUUACGCAUAGCUGGCUGUCGAAGUAUUCCUUACUAUAUGCGUGCUACGACAGUAAAUUUGUAACGAAAGCCCGAUGAACAUUCGGGCUUUUUUUA
rnacentral:sRNA from 1 species